GACGAACGCUGGCGGCGUGCUUAACACAUGCAAGUCGAACGGAAAGGCACUGCUUUUGUGGGGUUCUCGAGUGGCGAACGGGGGAGUAACACGAGAGUAACCUGCCCUUGACUUUGGGAUAACUUCAGGAAACUGGGGCUAAGACCGGAUAGGAGCCCCUGCAGCAUGGUGGGGGUUGGAAAUUUGCGGCGGUUGGGGAUGGACUCGCGGCUUAUCAGCUUGUUGGUGGGGUAGUGGCUUGCCAAGGCUUUGACGGGUAGCCGGCCUGUGAGGGUGACCGGCCACAUUGGGACUGAGAUACGGCCCAGACUCCUACGGGAGGCAGCAGUGGGGAAUAUUGCACAAUGGGCGGAAGCCUGAUGCAGCAACGCCGCGUGCGGGAUGACGGCCUUCGGGUUGUAGACCGCUUUCGCCUGUGACGAAGCGUGAGUGACGGUAAUGGGUAAAGAAGCACCGGCUAACUACGUG
rnacentral:rRNA from 1 species